rnacentral:rRNA from 1 species
GACGAACGCUGGCGGCGUGCUUAACACAUGCAAGUCGAACGGAAAGGCCCUGCUUUUGUGGUGUGCUCGAGUGGCGAACGGGUGAGUAACACGUGAGUAACCUGCCUUUGACUUUGGGAUAACUUCAGUAAACUGGGGCUAAUACCGGAUAUGAGCUCCUGCUGCAUGGUGGGGGUUGGAAAGUUUCGGCGGUUGGGGAUGGACUCGCGGCUUAUCAGCUUGUUGGUGGGGUAGUGGCUUACCAAGGCUUUGACGGGUAGCCGGCCUGAUAGGGUGACCGGCGACAUUGGGACUGAGAUACGGCCCAGAAUCAUACGGGAGGCAGCAGUGGGGAAUAUUGCACAAUGGGAGGAAGCCUGAUGCAGCAACGCCGCGUGCGGGAUGACGGCCUUCGGGUUGUAAACCGCUUUCGCCUGUGACGAAGCGUGAGUGACGGUAGUGGGUAAAGAAGCACCGGCUAACUACGUG